rnacentral:rRNA from 1 species
GCUAGUUGGUAAGGUUACGGCUUACCAAGGCGACGAUCUUUAGCUGAUGUGAGAGCAUGAUCAGCCACACGGGCACUGAGGCACGGGCCCGACUCCUACGGGAGGCAGCAGUGAGGAAUAUUGGUCAAUGGACGGAAGUCUGAACCAGCCAUGCCGCGUGAAGGAUGAAGGCGUUCUGCGUUGUAAACUUCUUUUAUUUGAGAAGAAACCACCGAUUUCUAUUGGUGUUGACGGUAUCAGAUGAAUAAGCACCGGCUAACUCCGUGCCAGCAGCCGCGGUAAUACGGAGGGUGCAAGCGUUAUCCGGAUUUACUGGGUUUAAAGGGUGUGUAGGCGGACUUUUAAGUCAGGGGUGAAAUCUCCGAGCUCAACUCGGAAACUGCCUUUGAUACUAUUAGUCUUGAAUUAUGUUGAGGUUGGCGGAAUAUAACAUGUAGCGGUGAAAUGCAUAGAUAUGUUAUAGAACACCGAUUGCGAAGGCAGCUGGCUAAACAUAUAUUGACGCUGAGGCACGUAAGCGUGGGUAGCGAACAGGAUUAGAUACCCUGGUAGUCCACGCCCUAAACGAUGAUUACUUGUCAUUAGCGAUACACAGUUAGUGACCAAGCGAUAGCGUUAAGUAAUCCAC